rnacentral:tRNA from 1 species
ACCUGGCUGGCUUAGUCACUAGAGCAUGAGACUCUUGUUCUCACAGUGUGAGUUCAAGCCCCACGUUGGGAU